AGUGGGCAGCGGGUGUCACCGCAAGGCGAGGGCGUAAGCGAGUGCAUCCCCAAUCAAUCACCUCAACUCCUCCGUGGUGGAACGGAACUGGAUCUCGCGUUCACCCGUGAAUUCCGCCCUUCCAGAUUCGUAUUGGUCGAUGUAUUUUCCGAAGGAAAUGGUGCAGAAUGGACAGGUGAUACUGCACUGAUCCGUAGAGUCCAUGGGAUGGUUGCUGGAAGCAAUGAAUGAUCUAGUCUUCUUACACUGUUAAAGAUAUUCACAGCAGAACAAAGAAAUACUAUACAAUCGAUGAAAAACUACAAAGGCUGACAAACAAUGACAAAAGACAAACUAUGCAAAUACAAAUAAACUAAAUAAUACUGAGAAUGAGUUGGAGAGUCUCUGAAAGUAAGUCAAUAGGUUGUGGUGAGUGAAGUUAUCCACACUGGCUCCUGUACCUCCUUCCUGAUGGCAGCAGUGAGAAGAGAGCAUGGUGGGGGCCCUUGAUGAUGGAUGCUGCUUUCUUGUGGCAGAGCUCCUUGUAGAUGAGCUCAAUGGUGGGGAGGGUUAUUCAUGUGAUGGGCUGUAGCCACUACUUUUUGUAGGCUUUUCCAUUUUUCAGUAUUGGUAUUCCUAUACCAGACAGUAAUGCAACCAGUCUCCACUCUGCACCUCUAAAAGUUUGUCAAAGUCUUAGAUGACAUAUUGAAUCUGUGCAAUCUUCUAAGAAAGUAGAGGUGCUGCUGCACCUUCUUUGUAAUUGUACUUACGAGCUGGUCGCAGGACAGAUUCUCUGAAAUGAAAACACCAAGGAAUUUGAAGUUACUUACCCUCUUCACCUCCAUUGGUCUAAUGAGGUCUGUGGAGAUUCGACACAACAUCAAAAACUUUGACAAACUUCUAUUGAUGUGCAGUGGAGAGCGCAUUGACUGGCUGCGUCACAGCCUGGUAUGGAAACACUAAUGUCUUUGAACGGAAAAUCCUACAAAAAGUAGAUUUGGCUCAGUUCAUAACAGGUAAAGCCCUCUCAACCAUUGAGCACAUCUACAUGAAAUGCACUUGUAUGAGCAUCCAUCAUCAGAGAUCCUCAGCACCCAGGCCAUACUCUUUUCUCGCAGCUGCCAUUGGGUAGAGGAUACACAAGCCUCAGGACCUGCAUCACAAGGUUCAAGGACAAAUAGUACUCUCCAACCAUCAGGCUCUUGAACAGAAGAGGGUAACUACAUCCACUUGCCCAUCCAUCCAUUGAGAUGUUUCCCCAACCAAUGAUCUCACUUUAAUCUUGUUAUUUCAUGCUCGUCAUUUAUUGCUAUUUAUUUGCGAUGCAUUUGCAGUUUGUUGUUUUCUGCUCUCUGCUUGAUCUUUCAUUGAUCCUGUUAUGGUUACUAUUCUAUAGAUUUGUUGAGUAUGCCCGCAGGAAAAUGAAUCUCAGGGUUGUAUAUGGUGACAUAUAUGUACUCUGAUAAUAACAUUUAAUUUGAGGACUGGCUUGUGGGCCUCUGGUUUCCCCCUCCUAUAGUGAACAAUUAACUCGUUGGUAGUAGAUGGAGGUGAGAUCUGGAAUAUCAGUGCAGGCAAGAAGGGCCUUUGAUUGAGGCUAUGUUUUUGUAUGUUGGCAGUUACAGUCAGUGUAAUAAUUGGAUAAUAAAGGAAAAUUAUCCCAUAUAAAAUUGAAGUUUGGGAUGCAUUCUACUGGAGGAAUUCUGCCAAUUACUUUGCAAACUCUGAAGGCAGCACUGCACAACAUUCCUAAACCGUUAGGUCAUGAACAUGGCCAGUUUGUAGGCUCGAGCUGCUCAGUGAAGGAACCUACUGAGUCAUCAAGUUAAACAAGCCAUAAAUAAGUAUGUUCAAACUAGGCCCAGCCAUUAACUCACAGUCAUACUGCAUGGAAACAGACUGUUCGACCCAUCUGAUCCAUGCUAAUUAAGAUUCCAAAAGUUGUCCCUUAGAUUCCUAUUAAAUAUCUCUUUUACCUUAAACCCGUGCCCUCUGGUUCUUGACUCCUUAGCUCUGAGCAAAAGACUGCACAUUCAUCCUGUGAUUAAAUUCCCCCAAAUUAAUAGCAAGUUUUUGUAUCUUGCCAAAAAAAUCAGUAAGAUCAAUGUCUCAGAUCUAUUGAGCACGUAUCAGGAGAACAACUGUUUAAUGCUAUUACAGCACCAGUGACCUGGGCUCAAUUCCACCGCUAUCUGAAAGGAGUUUCUAUGUUUUCCCAUAACUUCAUUGGUUUCCUCUGGGUGCUCCGGUUUCCUCCCACAUUCCAAAGACAUACGGGUUACUGGGUUAAUUGGUUAUAUGAGUGUAAUUGUGCAACGUGGGCUCGUUGAGCCAGAAGGGCCUGUUACUAUGCUGUCUCUCUAAAUAAAUAAACCACUUACUUUUCUAACCUGAAUCAUUUGUACUCUGCAAGGCAUCAAUUCUUCAACACUAAGAAACAAAAACAGACUUGAGACCUGAAGAUGUCCAAAAGUGUUCAGCAAACCAAUCAAGCACUUCUGAAAUGUAUUUGCUUCAGUAAUGUAGGAAAAAUGGCAGCCAACUGUCAGGCAGCAAGACCCAACAACAGCAAUGUAAAAAUAACCAGAUAAUCUAUUAUAACAAUGUUGAUUAAGGGACAUAUUUUGGUUAGGACACAAAGGAAAAUUCCAUUGCUCCUUGAAAUAACUUCCACGGGCUCUUUUAUGUCCACUUUGGUUUAUUGUUUCAUUCAAAAGGUGGCACCUCUUACAGCACGGCCCAUUCUCAACCGUACACUCUGAACUGAGGAAGACACAAAUCAGAACCAUGAGCAAAUCCCUCAGACUCUUCAGUCUGUUGUGCCAUUCAGCAAGAUCAUGGGUGAUUUAGUUGUAACCACAACUCCACAGUUUCAUCUUUCAGCCCCUUGCUUACCAAGGAAGGUUUUGUUUAAUUCAGAAACCAUUUUUAAAACACGACAAUAUCUCUGGCAGGUUAAUGAGAAUUACCACCGUCUGGGCUCCCUCCUCACUGCUACCAUCGGACAGGAUAUACAGGACUCUUGGAUCCCAUACCACAAGGUUUGGGAGCAGUUGUUGCCCUGCAACCAUCAGCCGUUUGAACCAGCAUGGAUAACUUCACCCAACUCAACCCUGAAAUGAUUCUACAACCUACAGACUCACUUACUCACUUUCAAGGACUCUACAACUCAUGUUCUCAGUGUUUUUUUUUAAAUUGCAUAAUUUGUCGUCUUUUGCAUAUUGUUUUUGUCAGUCUUCGUUUAUGUAUAGUUUUUCAUAAAUUCUACUGAAUUUCUUUAUUUUCCUGUAAAUCCCAGCAAGGAAUGAACCUCAAGAUAGUUUAUUGUGACAUAUACAUACUUUGAUAAUAAAUUUACUUUGACUUUGAAUUUUGAUAGUAGAAUAAAAAGAAAUAACAAUCUUAUACAGUAUUUCCAUUGUACCUUUCACAACUUUAGUGCUUUAUAGUCAUUAUGUUAUUUUUUGGAUUAUUUGUUGUAAAAAGGAAAAACAAAAAUCAUUACAUCAUUAUUAUUCAGUUUCAGGAAAAGGAUUGAAAAGAUGAGAAGGAAAAAAAAGCAUUUAUUCAUAAAACUUAAAUAAACACAUUUUAUGGCAAAAUAACAGUAGGGAAUACACGGCCUCAAAACCUGCACUGGAGUAAAAAUACAAAUGAACACAUAU